AAACAAUAAGUGGCAAUCCAGAGACCCCCACCACUGACAUGAAUGGAGACUACGGACCAACGGGACACUGCUGGAUCCAUGGUGGUCAAGAAGACCCUUGCCCAGGUGAAGACCCUUCCCCUGUACAAACGUAGUAACAGAAGAGGAUGACACAGCAGAUAUUAUAAUUAUAUGCAAAUUUCUAACCAAUCAUUGUAACUGGGAGUGUAUGACCUUGUAAUUUUUGUGUAUAAAUGUAAUGGUGAAAUUUACACAGGUGUGCUUGAUCUGUGGAGAUGACACCAAGCACCCAGUGCUGCAAUAAAGGAGUGCCUGCUUCUUAAUACUA